ACCCAGAAGGUUUGUUUAAAAUUUUAAAGAUUCGAGAGCAAAUAAACCUGGGUAAAGGGAGGACUAGAAAAUAUUCAAUUUUUGAUGUUUUUCCUAAGCAAUCUUUAGAAUCCUCAGAGACUAUACGUCGACCCCCGCCAAGGCGGGGAUGAUAUAGUCCGAUCUCAUAGGCGACUAUGAG
rnacentral:autocatalytically_spliced_intron from 1 species